AGGAAUAUUGGUCAAUGGACGAGAGUCUGAACCAGCCAAGUAGCGUGAAGGAUGAAGGUUCUAUGGAUUGUAAACUUCUUUUAUACGGGAAUAAACGGAUCCACGUGUGGAUUUUUGCAUGUACCGUAUGAAUAAGGAUCGGCUAACUCCGUGCCAGCAGCCGCGGUAAUACGGAGGAUCCGAGCGUUAUCCGGAUUUAUUGGGUUUAAAGGGAGCGUAGAUGGGUUGUUAAGUCAGUUGUGAAAGUUUGCGGCUCAACCGUAAAAUUGCAAUUGAUACUGGCAGUCUUGAGUACAGUUGAGGUAGGCGGAAUUCGUGGUGUAGCGGUGAAAUGCUUAGAUAUCACGAAGAACUCCGAUUGCGAAGGCAGCUUACUAACCUGUAACUGACAUUGAUGCUCGAAAGUGUGGGUAUCAAACAGGAUUAGAUACCCUGGUAGUCCACACGGUAAACGAUGAAUACUCGCUGUAGGCGAUAUACAGUCUGCGGCCAAGCGAAAGCAUUAAGUAUUCCACCUGGGGAGUACGCCGGCAACGGUGAAACUCAAAGGAAUUGACGGGGGCCCGCACAAGCGGAGGAACAUGUGGUUUAAUUCGAUGAUACGCGAGGAACCUUACCCGGGCUUAAAUUGCAACCGAAUAUGGCGGAAACGCUAUAGCUAGCAAUAGCGGUUGUGAAGGUGCUGCAUGGUUGUCGUCAGCUCGUGCCGUGAGGUGUCGGCUUAAGUGCCAUAACGAGCGCAACCCUUGCCGAUAGUUACUAACAGGUUAUGCUGAGGACUCUGUCGGGACUGCCAUCGUAAGAUGUGAAGAAGGUGGGGAUGACGUCAAAUCAGCACGGCCCUUACGUCCGGGGCUACACACGUGUUACAAUGGGGGGUACAGCGGGCUGCUACCACGCAAGUGGAUGCCAAUCCCAAAAACCUCUCUCAGUUCGGAUUGAAGUCUGCAACCCGACUUCAUGAAGCUGGAUUCGCUAGUAAUCGCGCAUCAGCCACGGCGCGGUGAAUACGUUCCCG
rnacentral:rRNA from 1 species